UACGUAGGGGCCUAGCGUUGUCCGGAAUUAUUGGGCGUAAAGAGCUCGUAGGCGGUUCGGCAAGUCGGAUGUGAAAUCUCCACGCUUAACGUGGAGGGGCCAUUCGAAACUGCUGUGACUCGAGUCCGGUAGGGGAGUGUGGAAUUCCCGGUGUAGCGGUGAAAUGCGCAGAUAUCGGGAGGAACACCAGUAGCGAGGGCGGCACUCUGGGCCGGUACUGACGCUGAGGAGCGAAAGCGUGGGGAGCGAACAGG
rnacentral:rRNA from 1 species